GCUGCCCAGACACAGGGCAGCCUUCCUCUCAGAACAUCUUCUGUAUCCUGAAAGCCUCCAGUGGGUUCAUCCUUCAAGUUAAUGGACAGGAAAACUAAGACCAGUGAGGAAUCCCAACACUCAUCCUGCCAGGAUAGAAAGGAAAGCCCAGAGGCAUUGCAAAGAGUGCUGAAGAGCAGGGAUUCGCUGUAUGGGGACAACUCUUGCUUUGUGUUUCAGGACAGGGAACCCAGGAGUGCAAACCUCAGUCAGGUGCAGUCCAGAGCCUGUCUUGAGCAUAAUGGCUGCUCUGCUCUGCCCCCGACCCUCACCACCUCCAGCGGGGUUCAUCAUCCCAGUUUAUGGACAGAAAAACUAAGACUAGAGGGGGAGGGCUUAGCUCCUGCUCGGAGGAGACCUUCAACUCCUUCACCUGCCUGGACUUGGCACCCUCCCAAGAGACUGCAACCAAGGUUAUGAAAAUAGCAUCUACUCACCAUCCUUCCUCAGCACACCCCCAACCAAUCCACCCCUCAGUCCCACCCCUGUCUCAAGGAGACUGAGCCCCGAGAAGCACAGCCUCCUGCACCUCCUCACCUCCCAGCCUGCCUUCCUGGUCUAUCUGCAAUGUCCUCAAGUCCUUUCCCGUCCUCCUCAUCCAAACUCCAAGACCUGCCUCACCUCACCCUCCUCCAGGAAGCCCCCUUCAUGGUCUGGGUUCACUCCCUGUCAUGACGUCCGCCCUCACCAGCACAGCACCAAGCCUUGCAAUGCUCUCUAGUAGUUAUUUCCUGCACAGAGAAGGGGUGAGGGAAGCAUCAUUUCUGCCUAUCCCUGUUCACACGCAAGGCUGGCUCUGCCUUCCCAGGGACCGUUCUGCAGAGGGAGACCGCUCAUCAGGCAGGUACCACCUCCAGGGAUCUCACUAAGGUAGAACUGAUGGGCCUCAGUUCUGUUCAGAGAACAGCUAUACAGGCUGGAGGCCUCCAAGAAACAGUUUCCAUUUUCCCUGAGGAGUCUGUAUGGAUGUGUACUGUACAGGGUAUAGGCUGUAUGGAGUCUGCAGGUAAACAUGCCUGUGUGUCAAAGAAUGAGUCUGUAUGGGUGUGUACUGUACAGGGUAUAUGCUGUAUGGAGUCUGCAGGUAAACAUGCCUGUGUGUCAAAGAAUGAGCAUGUGUGUGUGUGCAUGUGUCAGCAUGAGAAUGCCUCUGUGUUUGUGAGUGUGAGAGGGUCAUAUAGGUGCAGCAUUCUGUUGAUGGAGAGUCAAACUCUGUAAAAAAAAAUUUUUUUUUUCUUUAGAUGGAGUCUCACUCUGUCACCCAGGCUGGAGUGCAGUGGCGCGAUCUCGGCUCACUGCAACCUCCGCCUCCCGGGUUCAAGCAAUCCUCCCUGCCUCAGCCUCCCAAGUAGCUGGGAUUAUAGGCACCUGCCACCACGGUCGACUAAUUUUUGUAUUUUUUAGUAGAGACUGGGUUUUCGUCAUGUUGGUCAGGCUGGUCUUGAACUCCUGACCUCAUGUGAUCCACCCACCUCCGCCUCCCAAAGUGUUGGGAUUACAAGCGUGAGCCACUGCACCCAGCCUGUAAAAUAUUUUAAGAGAUUUAUUCUGAGCCAAAUAUGAGUGACCGUGGCCUGUGACACAGCCCUCAGGAGGUCCUGAGAACAUGUGCCCAAGGUGGUCGGGAUACAUCUUGGUUUUAUGUAUUUUAGGAAGGUAUGAGACAUCAAUCAAAUACAUAUAAGAAAUACAUUGAUUUGGUUCAGAAAGGCAGAACAACUCAAAGCGGGGGGCUUCCAGGCUAUAGGUAAAUUUAAACAUUUUCUGGUUGACAAUUGUUUGAGUUUGUCUAAAGACCUGGGAUCCAUAGAAAGGAAUGUUCAGUUUAAAGAUAAAGGAUUAUAGAGACCAAGUUUUAUUGUGCAGAGGAAGCUCUCAGAUAGCAGACUUCAGACAGAGCAAGUUGUAAAUUGUCUCUUAUCGGACUUAAAAGGGUGCCUGGCUCUUACUUAGUUGAUUAUCUCCUGGAUCUGGAAAGAAAGGAAGGAAAACAAAGGCGGAAGGGGAAUCUCUAUAGAAUGUGGAUUUUUCCCACAAGAGACUUUGCAGGGCAAUUUCAAGGUAUGGCACGGAAAUAUAUUUUGGGGUUAAAUAUUUUUUUCCUUGUCUCAUAAUGUUAUGCCAGAGUCAGAUUGAAAAGUAAAUCACAACAUAUAGGGUCAAAUAAAACCCAUCUGAUGAGAAUGUAUGGUUUGUAGGGCAUGACUUCCUAGACCUCUUAGGUAGGAAUCUGGGUAAGACAGAAUAUCAGACUUAGUCCUCAAUUCCUAAUGCAAAGUUCUGAGAUCCAAAAUGCUCCAAAAUCUAAAACAUUUUUUAGCACCGACAUAAUGCCACAAGUGGAAAAUUCCACACUUGCUUCAAUGUGCACAAACUUUGUUUCAUGCAUAAAAUUAUUCAAAAUAUUA
rnacentral:lncRNA from 10 species